GCCCUUAGAGUUUGAUCCUGGCUCAGAUUGAACGCUGGCGGCAUGCUCAACACAUGCAAGUCGAACGCGAAAGGGUUUCGGCCUGAGUAGAGUGGCGGACGGGUGAGUAACGCGUGGGAAUCUGCCCUGUAGUGGGGGAUAACCCGGGGAAACUCGGGCUAAUACCGCAUAUUUCCUAUGGGAGAAAGGGGGCCUCUGCUUGCAUGCUCUUGCUACGGGAUGAGCCCACGUCCGAUUAGCUUGUUGGUGGGGUAAAGGCCUACCAAGGCGACGAUCGGUAGCUGGUCUGAGAGGAUGAUCAGCCACACUGGGACUGAGACACGGCCCAGACUCCUACGGGAGGCAGCAGUGGGGAAUAUUGGACAAUGGGCGCAAGCCUGAUCCAGCAAUGCCGCGUGUGUGAAGAAGGCCUGCGGGUUGUAAAGCACUUUCGGUGGGGAAGAAAGGUCUGGGGUGAAUAGCCUUGGGCUGUGACGUUACCCACAGAAGAAGCACCGGCUAACUCCGUGCCA
rnacentral:rRNA from 1 species